GGAAGAAGUACUGACGGUACUUGAGGAAUCAGCAUCGGCUAACUCCGUGCCAGCAGCCGCGGUAAUACGGAGGAUGCAAGCGUUAUCCGGAAUUAUUGGGCGUAAAGCGUCCGCAGGUGGUACAUCAAGUCUGCUGUCAAAGACCAGGGCUUAACCCCGGGAAGGCAGUGGAAACUGGUGGACUAGAGUACGGUAGGGGUAGAGGGAAUUCCCAGUGUAGCGGUGAAAUGCGUAGAGAUUGGGAAGAACACCAGUGGCGAAGGCGCUCUACUGGACCUGUACUGACACUCAGGGACGAAAGCUAGGGGAGCGAAAGGGAUUAGAUACCCCUGUAGUCA
rnacentral:rRNA from 1 species